AUGGUCCUCCUACCCAAAUCUUCUAACUCUCAAUCUGCAUACGUGUUUCGUCCCAUCGCCCUUCAAAACUGUCCGAUCAAAGGCAUCACAAAAGUUCUCACCAACAGACUAAAAUCUUACAUCCCCAUGCUCGUCCACGGUGAUCAGACUGGCUUCAUCUUAGGGAGAUGCAUUGCCGAGAACUUCAUGUACGCUGCCGAUCUCAUAAACACUUGCCAUAAGCGUAAAAACCCCGCGAUGGUGCUAAAACUGGACUUCAGGAAAGCCUUCGACUCUGUGUCCUGGCACGCCCUCCUCCUAAUCCUGCAACAUUGGGGCUUCCCCACCCGAUUCUGCUCUUGGAUAAAUGAUCUACUUACCUCUGGAAAAACUGCUGUCAUGUUAAAUGGUGUGCAGGGCGACUGGAUUAACUGUAAGAAUGGCCUGCGUCAGGGUGACCCCAUGUCUCCAUACCUUUUCCUCAUAGUUGCUGAUGUUCUCCAGCAACUUAUACUAAAAACGGUUGCCUCUUCCCCUGACCUAUGCCACCCAAUCUACCCUGAUCUCCCCCUGCCAUCCUGCAAUACGCGGAUGACACGCUAA
rnacentral:rRNA from 1 species